AAGGAUCAUUACAGUAUGAAGCUGUAGACUUGGUGUCUUGGAUAAAACUAUAGAGAUGGAAGUUUAGCUUAUUUUUUAAGUUUUGCUGCUCCUCUAUAUGGCCUGUAAAAAGGAAUCCUGCACCGCCCAACCUUGUUAAUAAAAAAUUUAUCGUUAUUUUGGCGGGUUCGCUCGCCAGCUAAUACUAAAACUCCUUUAAAUAAAGCUGUCAUUAGUGUAUAUAGAGUCUGAUAAAUAUUUGUAAUAAAUUAAAACUUUCAACAACGGAUCUCUUGGUUCUG
rnacentral:misc_RNA from 1 species